rnacentral:rRNA from 1 species
GAUGAACGCUGGCGGCGUGCCUAAUACAUGCAAGUCGAGCGAACGGACGAGAAGCUUGUUUCUCUGAUGUUAGCGGCGGACGGGUGAGUAACACGUGGAUAACCUACCUAUAAGACUGGGAUAACUUCGGGAAACCGGAGCUAAUACCGGAUGAUAUUUUGAACCGCAUGGUUCAAAAGUGAAAGACGGUCUUGCUGUCACUUAUAGAUGGAUCCGCGCUGCAUUAGCUAGUUGGUAAGGUAACGGCUUACCAAGGCAACGAUGCAUAGCCGACCUGAGAGGGUGAUCGGCCACACUGGAACGGGAACACGGUCCAAACUCCUACGGAAGGCAGCAGUAGGGAAUCUUCCGCAAAGGGCGAAAGCCUGACGGAGCAACGCCGGGUGAGUGAUGAAGGUCUUCGGAUCUUAAAACUCUGUUAUUAGGGAAGAACAUAUGUGUAAGGAACUGUGCACAUCGUGACGGUACCUAAUCAGAAAGCCACGGCUAACUACGUG